rnacentral:lncRNA from 1 species
CUGGGAGGUGCUUCCACAGACUGCAAAGUGAAGUACUGAAGUGUUUUGCUUUUCUAUUAAAUUUACACUCUGUGUUUUGACUCAGCACUGCAGAUUUUUAUUAUCCUCCCUUUUUGUACAUUGCUGGGAAUAAAUUUUAUCCUCCAGAGUUCUUUACUCUUUAAGUGUGGGAAGGCAGAUGGUGGGGUCUGGUUUUGCUUCUUUGGAGUGACCUGUUGACUUCUGUGGCUUGGAGUUAGGUCCCUGAUGGAGUAUUUGUUGCUAAGCUUCCUACCAGGAUGCUGAGAGGCAGACAAGUCAUGGUCAGCUGUCUGACAAGACACCCUGAUACUGCUGCUUUGCUGCUCACCUGUGCCAGAUGACAUCAAGGUGGGAAGACCUUGGAGGAGAGAAUUAGAAUUAGAAAUGAGCUAAGCAAAAAAGAUCCUGAUUGUGGAAACCCCAGAUGUAUGAAUGAGGACAGUCACCUUGAGAAGUAUCCCUGAAGUCUGGCAAGGAGAAGCUGCACAAUCUGUGCUGUACCACAGCGGCUGAAGGUUUUGGCUGCCAUCCUCUGCAGGGAAACGAAGGCACAGAGAUGCUGAAGGACACAUCCCAGUUUUAUAAUUUCCUACGUGCUGGAAGUAGGACAGAUGAAUGCUAUGAAAUGCUUAGCAUCACUUUCCCUGGAAGAGAAAGUGAAAUUCAGGAAGGUGGAUCAGGAAAACAGCAUUCUCCUGCCACAGGGAAACAUGGAAAAGUGCAGAAAGGGACAAGCAGGAGAUUUCCUUGGCCUUUUGGAACAUUCCCAGCUACUGAGGGCACUGUCAUACUAUGUGGCAUAUCUGGCACAAACAAAUAUUCUCAGUUUAUUCAGCAAAGAAGACAAUCACCUAUGGCAUCCUUCUGCUGCUCUGGAUGUACAGCUACCCAUGCUUCAGAAGAGAAAACUCCAGUAUUGCUACUCUCAUACAGGUUCAACAGAGGAAGAACAAACCCAUUGCAACAGCAAAAAGAAUCUCUUCAGCAGCUGAGAUCUCUUCACUUGUGGGUAGAAAGCACAGAGAAAUAAAUAUCGCAAGAAUGGCGCUAAGGAUAAGAUAGACCUAUUUAUAUUUAAUAGGACUUUGCAGACUUCUGUGGCCUGAUUGCAGUGACAUGGUGUGCAAAUGAUAUAAUUUCUUUGGAUUAAAAGGAGUUUCUCUUUUAUUUGGAGUUAGCCAGAAAAAGCUCUGAAAUCACCAGAUUGUACUGCUAUUUAUCGGGAAAAUUCUUAUUGGAAACAUCUGAGUUUAUCCCUUCAGGCAUAGUUAGGCCAUAUGUAGUCAUAGCAUUUCAAAUUUUGCUUGGAGCAUAAAUAUGAGGCUAGACAAUUGAAAAAGAGUCUUUAUACAUCCUUACAAUUUAUGUUUUAGCAUAUAAUGAGCAAGUGUUCCCAUGUAUGAAGAUUAGGUACUUAUUUCCUCUGAAAGCCAAUGGUCAUGGAUUUUCUCAUCAUAAACGGUGUACUUUCAUUUCCUCUCUUGCUCUUUGUAUGCACCUCUCCAUUGUUAAACAAUUAAGUAGCAGAAGCUGUUAAUAUUAUGUUAAAAAAUUCAUCCUAUUUCACGGGUUUUUUCCAGUCUUGUUACACUAUUUUCAUGUGAAAACAUGGGUGAAAACACUUAGCAAAACAAAAGAUGCAAAAUAUCAGAAGUAGGACAUUUGUAGAUAAGCUUCAAAACCUAUUGCCAUAGGAAUUAAAGAAUGAAAACCAUCAACACGUUGUAUCUUCUAAGAGUUUUUUCUUGUAUAUAUAUGAACAUUUGUUCUGCUUUAAAAGAUGUAUGUGUAUGAAGCGUUUCUCAAUAAAAAGCAUCAAAAUCAUGCA